AUCUUCAGGGCAGGGUGCAAGUCCCUACCGGUGGUAAAGCCCACGAGCGCGAUGCGCAUGAUUCGGUGAAACUCCGAAGCCGACAGUACAGUCUGGAUGAAAGAAGAUG
rnacentral:ncRNA from 1 species